AUUUCCUAUAGGAAGAACCAUCAUAUUAGAAAACCAACAUCAGACCAGAGACUCCGGUAUUCCCCAUGGUAAGGAAGGUCUGUUGAAACAGAUGUCCCAAGAACAUAUCUGAGAAAAGAAAGUUGAAUGAUAAUACAUCUGUGUUUCUCUAAAAAAAGUGGAUAAAAACUUUUUUAUUCUAGCUCUCCCAGGGAAGGAGAGAAAAUAAAGCUGUUAACCAGAGUGAAUUACUAGGAAUGGAAAAACAGAUUGAGACACUGUAAACAUUCUAAACAAAGUGCUUCUCUGCUUCUAGAACUUCAAACCCUGUGGUAAAUGAGGCACCAUGAUAUGCUGAAUGGAUGCUGCAGUAAAACAGAUUAGAUGAGAAUGAAUUAUUACAAAAACUGCGAUUUAGAGCCAUCAACUGUAAAAAUGAGAAAGUUAAUUAAUUGACGUGAACACAUAUACUCUGCCUAUCACAGCUGUGCACUUUCUUCCUACAUAGCUUUGAUAAAGACCUCUCUUGAAGUGAAAGAACAAUACUGAAGGAAGAAGUUAUUUAAUAUGGGAAACAGACAAAUCUUAUGUAUUCUAUUGAUGGCAUGCAGGGCUAGCCAAAAUUUCGAUUUAGAAAGGAAAUUCACUGUCUGGUCUAGGUGCUGAAAUGACCAAUGACGUGGAGUCACAAGCUGGCAGAUGGUGCUGUGAAUGUAACCCCAAAAAGGAAAACUGGAAGAAGACACAAGGAGAGAAGUAGAACGAGGUUUCCAGAAAACACAUGCCAUUAAAUUAACUUCUAUUCCCACUUGCCA